rnacentral:lncRNA from 1 species
GUUAACAUUGGGUUUUGAACACACGCCCUUUCGGACCAAAACUUUAAUUUGGCGUCUUAAGGGGUGACUGGUUUUCCCGCUACCACCCGCAAACGCAGCUUCUGCGGUUGGUAGCGGUUGUCGGCGGUUUGCAACAAUCACUCAAAUCGCUCUAAACCGCUUCAAACUGCUUCGAAUCUCAUAAAUUCAAAAGCUGGCUCUAGCUAGCGUUUACGGUUGCGGGCGGUUGCG